rnacentral:lncRNA from 1 species
GGAGCAACAAUAAUAAAAAUUAUGCAAAAAUUAUGAAAAAAUGUAAAUAUUUGUAACGUGAAAAAAUCUUUUAUUAAAAACUCAUAAUUACAAGUCAAUCAAUCAUAUUCUGCUAAGAUCAAAUAAGCAUAGUGUUCAGCAGUGGUGUUGUUCAGUAGUUGCUGCAGAUGUCAAACAGAACAGGGUUUUAGUAUCUUUGUGUGUCGCUUGUGUGAAUACUGAUAAACACCUAGUAGGCUAUUUUUUAGAAUUGAAGAAGAAUUGUUCUGCAGUGACUUAGAUGCAAUUAUGGGAGGUAUGGUCAAUUACGUAGGCUCUUAUAUGAUGGAGGAAUGGGUCUUUAUGUUACCAUAAAUAUUACAUUCAGAGUCCAAUGCCGGUAGUUGGUACGGGUUGAUUUUGUAUACGAGUUGAGACACUUCUGAAGUGUUUCUGUUUUAAUUUAUUAAUUCUUUGCUGAUAAAAGAAAAGAAUUUUCCUUUACAAGGUAUUCACCAAUUUCACGAUCUUAUAACAAACUUCAAUUUAACGAUCUCUAAUAUAGACACUUCUUGUUAAUAUGUGUGUAGACUGUCUAUGCUGAUGGGUCGUCCAAUAAGACGGCAUGUGGAGUUGGCAUCGUCUUCGAAGGUCCGAACGACCUCAUUCUCGACUCGGCAUUAAAGUUCGAGUUCAAGGCCAUCAACAACCAAGCCGAGUACGAGGUUAUCCUCACUGGUCUAAACUUGGCGUACGACAUGGGACAUGGGAGCUCGUGAAGUAACGUGUAAAAGCGACUCCCAAUUGGUGGUCACCCCGAUCAAGGAAAAGUUUGAAGUGAAGGAACCUUUGUUGCAAAGGUACUACCAUACAGUUUCCAACCUCAUCGCUUAAUUUGAAAGAGUGACGGUGUAGCACAUCCGUAGAGAAGACAACAUGAGGGCCAACGCAUUGUCUCAGCUGGCCUCGACUAAGAAGAAAAACCACUUGUGAGGUUUUGCAGCGGACAAAAGGAAAGGUGUUUGAUGAAGGUUUAAGUGAAUUCAAUCUGUGGAAAAGUGUUUCUAAACAGUGGAAACAGAAUGUAAUCAGUGAAAAGAGAUUAUAAACAGUGGAAAAACAAAAAUUAUAGAAGAAAAAGCAAGAACAAGGUUGAACAACAGAUCAAAAACUGUAAAUUUUGACCUAGCUGGGUGAAGCUUGGCAAUGGGAUCUUGGUGUACUCUGAUCCACCUAAUGCAAUCUAAGUUUGAGAUUGGAUGAAGACACGGAGUGAUAGCGAAAGUGAUUGGAGAUAUGCACCGAAAAUGAGAGGAAAAGGUGACGUUUGGAGCGAGUUUGAGGUGCUAUAAAGAAGAAAGAGGUGUGACCAACUUUCUUAGGGUUUAACUAGGCCAAUAAGGCUCUCUAGCAAGGGAGAUUUGAGAGAGAAUGAGUUUCAAAUUUUGAAUACUUCAUUCGAUAAUGCCAAAUUUGAAUAGAUAAGGUUUGUUUGAGGUAUUUAUAGAUGAAAAGAGUGAGGGUAGCUUGUUACUUAAGCUACCAU